rnacentral:rRNA from 1 species
UACGUAGGGCGCAAGCGUUAUCCGGAAUUAUUGGGCGUAAAGAGCUCGUAGGCGGUUUGUCGCGUCUGCUGUGAAAACCCGAGGCUCAACCUCGGGCCUGCAGUGGGUACGGGCAGACUAGAGUGCGGUAGGGGAGAUUGGAAUUCCUGGUGUAGCGGUGGAAUGCGCAGAUAUCAGGAGGAACACCGAUGGCGAAGGCAGGUCUCUGGGCUGUAACUGACGCUGAGGAGCGAAAGCAUGGGGAGCGAACAGG